GUGGGGAAUCUUAGACAAUGGGGGCAACCCUGAUCUAGCCAUGCCGCGUGAGUGAUGAAGGCCUUAGGGUCGUAAAGCUCUUUCGCCGGGGAAGAUAAUGACUGUACCCGGUAAAGAAACCCCGGCUAACUCCGUGCCAGCAGCCGCGGUAAUACGGAGGGGGUUAGCGUUGUUCGGAAUUACUGGGCGUAAAGCGCGCGUAGGCGGAUCGGAAAGUUGGGGGUGAAAUCCCGGGGCUCAACCCCGGAAUUGCCUUCAAAACUCCCGGUCUUGAGGUCGAGAGAGGUGAGUGGAAUUCCGAGUGUAGAGGUGAAAUUCGUAGAUAUUCGGAGGAACACCAGUGGCGAAGGCGGCUCACUGGCCCAAUACUGACGCUGAGGCGCGAAAGCGUGGGGAGCAAACAGGAUUAGAAGCCCUGGUAGUCC
rnacentral:rRNA from 1 species